GCAUGCCUUACACAUGCAAGUCGAACGGUAACAGGUCUUCGGACGCUGACGAGUGGCGAACGGGUGAGUAAUACAUCGGAACGUGCCCAGUCGUGGGGGAUAACUACUCGAAAGAGUAGCUAAUACCGCAUACGAUCUGAGGAUGAAAGCGGGGGACCUUCGGGCCUCGCGCGAUUGGAGCGGCCGAUGGCAGAUUAGGUAGUUGGUGGGAUAAAAGCUUACCAAGCCGACGAUCUGUAGCUGGUCUGAGAGGACGACCAGCCACACUGGGACUGAGACACGGCCCAGACUCCUACGGGAGGCAGCAGUGGGGAAUUUUGGACAAUGGGCGAAAGCCUGAUCCAGCAAUGCCGCGUGCAGGAUGAAGGCCUUCGGGUUGUAAACUGCUUUUGUACGGAACGAAAAAGCUCCUUCUAAUACAGGGGGCCCAUGACGGUACCGUAAGAAUAAGCACCGGCUAACUACGUGCCAGCAGCCGCGGUAAUACGUAGGGUGCGAGCGUUAAUCGGAAUUACUGGGCGUAAAGCGUGCGCAGGCGGUUAUGUAAGACAGAUGUGAAAUCCCCGGGCUCAACCUGGGAACUGCAUUUGUGACUGCAUGGCUAGAGUACGGUAGAGGGGGGAUGGAAUUCCGCGUGUAGCAGUGAAAUGCGUAGAUAUGCGGAGGAACACCGAUGGCGAAGG
rnacentral:rRNA from 1 species